ACACACCUGGGUCACCGGUGGGGCCAGGUAUGGCUGCAGGGGCUGCCUGGGCACCCACCAGGACACCAGGUGCCUGAAGUGGACGGUGUGACCCCGCCCCCAAUAUGGCUGCCGUGGCCACACCCACAACAUGGCUGCCGUGAUGCCGCCCCAAAA